rnacentral:rRNA from 1 species
GACGAACGCUGGCGGCAUGCUUAACACAUGCAAGUCGAACGGAAAGGCCCUGCUUUUGUGUGGUGUCCGAGUGGCAAACGGGUGAGUUACACGUGAGUCACCUGCCCUUUACUUUAGGACAACUUCAGGAAACUGGUACUAACACAGGCUAGGAGCUCCUGCUGCAUGGGGGGCGUUGGAACGCUUCGGUGGUUGGGGAUGGACUGGCGGGUAAUCAGCUGGUUGGUUGGGUAGUGGCCUACCGAGGCAUCGACGGAUAGCCGGCCUGAGAGGGUGACCGGCCACAUUGGGACUGCGGUAGGGCGCAGAGUCGUACGGGAGACAGCAGUGGGGAAUAUUGCACAAUGAUGGGAAGCCUGAUGCGGCGACGCCGCGUGCGUGAAGCCCGCCUUCGGGUGGGAAAGCGCUGUCGCCUGUGACGAAGCGUGAGUGACGGUAAUAGGAGAAGAAGCACCGGCUAACUACGUG